rnacentral:lncRNA from 1 species
GGCUCAAUUGCAAUGGCACAGUCUUCGCUCAGUUGAGAAGCCACAGGCAGAAGUGACUGGAGAAAUUACUCAAUAUGCUGAAUAUUGAGUCGACUGGGAAGCCCAACCAAAAAGACGCAUGCAGGGACACCAUGGGGAGCAGAGGAAAGUGCCUGCCCGGGCUUUAAAGGACAACUUGAAAGCAGAGAGCUAUGCCUAGAUGUGCCCGAGUUCAAUUUUAUGAUAUCAGCUAAGUCUUUGAACAGACGUUUUAGAGUAUUAUUUUUAAAAAAAGAAGAAGGUUUUCACAGCCAAAGUAAUAAAUAUGGAAAGAGACUGGAAGAAGAAUUAGAUCAUUCCACCCACACCCCCUUGAGAAAUCAAGACCACUGAGUAGUUUUGGUUGCAUGAAGACUCCAGUUUAUCUGUUUUGGUGCCCAGUGGGAAAAGACAAAAAUGAUAAUGUUGCCGGAUAGAAGUCUUUGGUGCCCAGUGGAAAACAGCAGCUGGCCUGACAGGGACAUCUUGCCUGGAGUGUUUGGUGGUAUCCAGGGAUGUAACAAUCAUCAACAGUAGCGCCUGGUGGGCAUUUCGUUGCUCAGAAGAAACAAAAGUCGUUCCAAAGAGCACAACAGGAUCCAGAAAAUACAGUACAAUUUAGUAGACAUGACAAGACUGCCCACUCCAUAACAUGUGAUCAUCCAGUCUAUCUGUCAAUGAAAAUAUAUAAAACAUUCAUUGGGAGCCCCCAGAAAAUUAUAGAUGGAGAUGAGUCUUUUCAAACAAUACAAGAUCCCACAUGAGCCAAGUGAAAUCUUGACUGUUAUUAUUAAUAUAACUUCAUGAUAGACCUGAAUAAAUAGAUGAUCCUGAUGGACUCUUAAGGGAAAAGCAGAAGGGAGAGUUUAUUUCAAUCCUUACACAAGUUCUUGAGAAAGAUGUUUAUACGUUGGGCUUGCUGUCAACAAAAAAGAGAAGUAGCAGCAUCCAGUAACUUUUUCAUUGAUAGUAGAGCAAGAAGAGAAGUGGUUUUGCAAUAAAGAUAAUAUCGUGACUCCACUUGGGUCAUGAUAAGAACAUCACUGGGACCUCACCUCAACUACCUGAUCAGGGGAAGCUGAGGAACUGAGUCAAGCCUCACAGAAUAAUCUGAAACAGCAGGAUGCUCACCAGACAUGGUUUCUUCGACUUCACUAGCUGCAAAGAAUGAAUUGUGUAUAAGCAAAAAUGAAAAACGCUGCAGUGUCCAAGAGGCUUGGACUUAAAAAUAUUCAAGGUCUAGAUUUUAUCCGAUCCAUAAACAAUUUUUUUAAAGCAGUCAUAAUAAAAUAGCAGCUCCCAGUAACUUCUGCGAGUUUCACCUUCUUCAGGAAUUGACUCAAUUCAGUUUGACUCAUUCUUGGAAGCCUCAUCAAAAUUCUCCACAAGAUGUGAAACUUCAUCACUGUCAUCCUCUCCAGUAGCAAGUGGUGCUUUUCCC